UACCUCUGUCGGCGACCGGCGCACGGGUGAGUAACACGUAUGCAAUCCACCUGUAACAGGGGGAUAACCCGGAGAAAUCCGGACUAAUACCCCAUAAUAUGGGCUCUCCGCAUGGAGGGCUCAUUAAAGAAAGCAAUUUUGGUUACAGACGAGCAUGCGCUCCAUUAGCCAGUUGGCGGGGUAACGGCCCACCAAAGCGACGAUGGAUAGGGGUUCUGAGAGGAAGGUCCCCCACAUUGGAACUGAGACACGGUCCAAACUCCUACGGGAGGCAGCAGUGAGGAAUAUUGGUCAAUGGUCGGCAGACUGAACCAGCCAAGUCGCGUGAGGGAAGACGGCCCUACGGGUUGUAAACCUCUUUUGUCGGAGAGUAAAGUACGCUACGUGUAGCGUAUUGCAAGUAUCCGAAGAAAAAGCAUCGGCUAACUCCGUGCCAGCAGCCGCGGUAAUACGGAGGAUGCAAGCGUUAUCCGGAUUUAUUGGGUUUAAAGGGUGCGUAGGCGGCACGCCAAGUCAGCGGUGAAAUUUCCGGGCUCAACCCGGACUGUGCCGUUGAAACUGGCGAGCUAGAGUGCACAAGAGGCAGGCGGAAUGCGUGGUGUAGCGGUGAAAUGCAUAGAUAUCACGCAGAACCCCGAUUGCGAAGGCAGCCUGCUAGGGUGCGACAGACGCUGAGGCACGAAAGCGUGGGUAUCGAACAGGAUUAGAUACCCUGGUAGUCCACGCAGUAAACGAUGAAUACUAACUGUUUGCGAUACAAUGUAAGCGGUACAGCGAAAGCGUUAAGUAUUCCACCUGGGGAGUACGCCGGCAACGGUGAAACUCAAAGGAAUUGACGGGGGCCCGCACAA
rnacentral:rRNA from 1 species